AUGUAUGGAUUUACUAUUGUUUAUACAACCGUCUGCCAAUUAAAGUCUGCAGGCAAGUGAACUGCGAUCUGCUGUAUAAAAGGCUUUGUUUGAACAACAUAACUGUUCGUAGCUACGUGCAUAUGGUUUAUUCAUCUGAGAAGCUAGAACAUAAUGGCAAGUAUUGUGACCGAGUUUGUGGGACCAAGACCUGGCUGCUACAUCAUGAAGUUCUGUCAAGGAACAACAGAAAUGAUAGGCAGAUUUGUAGUUCUGGUAUUGGCCGUUGGUGUUCUUAUUGCCUCAGCAGUCUCACUCGGACUAGUGGCAGCUCUCCCUUCAUUCACAGACCCGGUAUCCAGGGUCAUCAUUAACGCGGGGACCGAUGUCAAUACAGAGACUCUAUUCUUCAACUCCUAUUCGGGUGGGGGUGUGGGGGUUGGUUCGGCUGUGCUGAUUAUCGUCUGGGAAAGUUUGAUGAUCAUCCUGAGGUUCCUCAAUAUAGGACUGCUCAAUAUUAAGAGCACGGUUUUCCUGGUGAUUGACAUAGUGGUUGGCUUGGUGCUGGCUGUGGUGGUGAACAUCAGUGGUAUUCUGGGAGCCUACAUGGCCAGUGAGUGGAGCAAGGUCAUCCCACCCCUCGAUGCGUCCGCCGCAAGGGACUCGCUCAUUGCUCUAGCUGUGAUUGCCCUCCUGGAUGGACUGUUAUUGGCUCUACUGGCUACAUGGAUUAUUGUAUUUGUCAUGAGAAAGUGGAACAACGAAGUUAUCAAAGAAACCGCCAAAGACAUAAUUUAAGGGUGCUGGAACACCUACGCCCACGUACGCCCACACACACGUUGCUAGGGAAAGCUAACUAUGAAACUACCUGCAGGGGAGACAUGGAUCCUUCACAGGAUUAUGAAGCAACACUCUACUAGUGUGCAUUCCAAAAAUGGAGAGGAAAGGAUGAUGACAACAGAUUUUACACUUGAUUUUCAUCAUAUAGCUAAAAGAAGUUCCGCUUAGGAAACCAGUAGAGCUAUGGACUUGAUUGUUUGUUUGCAGGUGCACUACACACAGCUCUUCAACAUUACGAAGAGCUUUUGUUGUAAAAUCCCUUUGUUAUCUAUUUAUGAGAAUUUUUUGUCAUGACACACCCUCUAGAGAAAAAUCUAGACCGUACAUGGACAAAGUCAGCCCGUAACUUUGUUCACCUUACCUAAUUAUAGCAGCAUGCUAAAUAUAGACCAAGUCCUGUACGUAGAUAGUCAGAUCGAACACUUUUUAUAUCUGGCUCUAGCGUACGCGUACGCUAGAGUAUAAAUUAAGACGUAAGCCUGUAGACCACGCCCCAAUUGCGUACGUAGAGUGCAGAAUUAGCGUUGAAGAUCAAGAGCCAUUUGUUAGUAGCCUGAAGAGAAGAGAUAGGCAACGCUGGGGCUACAGACAGCGCUGACAAUUGGCUGGCUCAUAGACUUCUGCCAGGGUUGGCUGCUGUUUUGAUGGACUUUGAAGAGCUUCCAUGAAAGCCUGUGUGUAAUACCACUCUUGGACCUCAGUGUCACCAGAGUGCUGUGCUCCAGGCCAAGUUGGACCAGUCUCUUUGUCUGGGCUGCAGUAAUGCUUGGCUUCCCCGGGCAUCAGAUUGGUGGAACCUCCGCUUUUGUGAGGUCCACACAGCUCCAUCUGCUUAUUAGCAGACCGAAUAGGGAGGUUGGGGAGGCAGCUGAUCAGUGAAUGGUGUGUCGUAACUGCCUCCAUCGCCAGGACAUCUGGAAAUGAGCUUCUGACCAUUCUGCUAACUUGGUGGCAAGGAUCUCCAGCUUCUGAAGGAUGCGAUGCCAUUGUGUGCUGGAACAUGGUGGAAGACCCAACCAGCCACUCAACCGGACGUAUCAACAUGCAGGUGGCCAUUGAGGAGAAAGGACAACACUGGAUAGUGCCAUGAACAGCUCGAAUCGUGGAUAGUACACGUCUAAAGCACUGAAGAGAAACGUCUCCACUCGACACAAAUGAAGACAGUGUGUAUUAACAUUAAAAGACAAUCCAACCUGCUGUGUGACUAAUGCUAGUUGAGGAACUCGGACACUCGUGCUGAUUGUACUGAGACUGGGGUCUAUUGGCACACUUACGUUUCUCCCAUCUACUACUGAAGGCACUCCUUUGCUACAAAUCUGGCUCUGUAUUUAUUGGAUUGUGUUAUUUUGUUAUUGAUUUAUUAGUUUGUGUAGCUACCUGAUUUUCUUUUGCAGCUUGUAGUUAAUUUAAUUGAAGACAUUCUCACAAAACCAC